GAUGCUUCAUAGCGUUUCUUUAAUCUUCUCAGUGACUGCCAUAAGCCGGACCACCUGUAGGUUGAAGUCUGUUCUCGAUGGCCAGCGGGAGGGAUCGUAAUGAACCAGACAAUCUACCUGCUACUCCAGCAGAAGGUCUUAAACCAAUGCCUGUCACUCCAGAGGUCGUUGCCACAAUGCCAUUGCUGGGAAGAUGAAGAAAGACGCGGAAAAGAAGCUCAAGAAAAGCUACAGCACUACACUCAAGGACGGAGAGACGGACUAUUGCAUUAGAAUAAUACUUAUUAUCAGUUAUCAGAUAUACUCCACAAGUGAAACUUAUCAGGAGAUUACAGUUCAUAGGUACCACUAAUCUGCUCAUCAUGUCUCAACAAAGAUGAACACUCUCACAUCCUUUUCCUCUUCAUUUGAAAAUUUCACAGCAAGAAAGUACUGAAACAGACAAUCUGAUGAUUUCUAGUGACACCAUGAUGACACUUUAUAACAGUUUAGUAUCUUUAUGAUUCGAUCAUUACAAGUCAAUUUAAUGCUAGAAAGGUCAAAAGUUGUAUAAACAUUACUUACCAUUUAAGGUAAAUGUUGUUUUGCCUUAUGAAGAGAAGCAAACUGUUUGAUGAUAGUUCAGUUAAUUUUCAGUAUGUAUAAAUAAUGGACAAUUUGAUGAUCUUAUAACUCAUAUGAAGUAAGAGGCAGCUUUGGAAUUGCAGUUAAGGAUAGCUGUACAUCUAUUGCAUUGAAAUUCAUCAAUGGAGUUAGGAUUAAGUUGAAGUGACAAAGUGGCAUAAACCAAUCAAGAAUGGUUGAGCAAUGAUAUAGAAGUAUUCAUUAUCUCUGAUUUGAGAAAAUGAAGACAGACGAGUAUAUGGGAGCUGAAUAAUGAGAUGCUGGUAACAUUUCAGUGAGAGACGCACCAGCAAAUACAUGUCAUGAUGAAUAUUAUUAUUUAAUAAUAAUUAUAGUGCUAUUAAUUUUGUGAGUAUUAAGAGAAAAAUAAGAAGAGAGGAACUAAAAGCAGAGGAUUAUUAUUGUUGUUUUUAUUAUUGUCAUUUGUUUGUUUGUUCAUC